UCAGGAUGAACGCUAGCGACAGGCUAACACAUGCAAGUCGAGGGCAGCAUAAAAGUAGCAAUACUUGGUGGCGACCGGCGCACGGGUGAGUAACGCGUAUGCAACCUACCUAUCAGAGGGGAAUAACCCGGCGAAAGUCGGACUAAUACCGCAUAAAACAGGGGCACCGCAUGGUGAUAUUUGUUAAAGAAAUUCGCUGAUAGAUGGGCAUGCGUUCCAUUAGGUAGUUGGUGAGGUAACGGCUCACCAAGCCGACGAUGGAUAGGGGAACUGAGAGGUUGGUCCCCCACACUGGUACUGAGACACGGACCAGACUCCUACGGGAGGCAGCAGUGAGGAAUAUUGGUCAAUGGGCGGGAGCCUGAACCAGCCAAGUCGCGUGAAGGAAAGAAGGAUCUAUGGUUCGUAAACUUCUUUUGCAGGGGAAUAAAGUGCAGGACGUGUCCUGUUUUGUAUGUACCCUGAGAAUAAGGAUCGGCUAACUCCGUGCCAGCAGCUGC
rnacentral:rRNA from 1 species